GCUGCCAUUGAGGAGCAUUUACUCAGUGAGUGCAAGAGGUUUGUUUGAAACAGACCGCAAUGGAGAGAUCAGCGCCCAGGGAAGCGAGGGAACAGCAGGCUCCUUCCAGCAGCACAUCGGGAUGGGAACCUGGGACACAGAGGGGGCUCCGAGACCGGGAUUGAUUCGGGGCAAAUGUUUGAUGGACCAAGAUAAUGUAAUAUUUCCUCAGUACAAGCCAAGUAUGACCAUCUGCUUCUAACAACUAACAGGAGAUGUCACUUCUGUCUUCCUCCAGACAAAUACUUGAAGGACCAAGAUAUAUUCUCUCGGGGCAAAGCCAAGUGUGAUCAGUUUCUUCUAACAAACAGCAGCUCUGUUACUAUUGUCAGACUAAAGAACGUCCUUUUCACAGUCUCAGAGCUGUUUGAAUUAGAUGCAUAUUCAGCUCCAUUUCAAACAAAGAGUUAAAUCCCACCAAGGAAUUACAAUGUUUUUAUCACUCUCCAUGCACAUCACCCCAUUUCCAAUAAAUGUUAUUAUUCACUGCCACAUAGUCAUAGAUUUAUACAGCACAGAAACAGACACUUCGGCUGGACUCAUCCAUGCCAACCAGAUAUCCUGAACUAAUCCAGUCUCAUUUGCCAGCACAUGGCCCAUAUCCCUCUAAACCCUUCCUGUUCGUGUAUCCAUCCAGGUUCCUUUUAAAUGGUGUAACUGUACCAAUCUCCACCAACUUCUCUGGCAGCUCAUUCUAUACACACAUGCCCUCCAGAUCCCUUUUAAAUCUUCCCCUCUAACCCUAAGCCUAUGCCCUCUCGCUCUGGACUCCCCUACCCCAUGGAAUAAAUGUUGUCUAUUUAUCCUAUCCAUAGCUCUCAUGAUUUUAUCAAACUCUAUUAGUUUACCCUUCCGAAAACAGCCUGAAGCCUAUUCAACAUCUUCCGAUACCUCAAAUACUCCAACGCUGGCAACAUCCUUGUAAAUCCUUUCUGAACCCCUUCAGGUUUCACAAUAUCUUUCCAAUAGGUAGAGAUCAGAAUUACAUGCAAUAUUCCAACAAUGGCCCAACCAAUGUCCUGUACAGUUGCAACAUGACCUGCCAACUCCUGUAAUCAAUUCACUGACCAAUAAAGGAAAGCAUACAAUACGCCUUCUUCACUAUCGUAUCAACCUGCAACUCCACUUUCAAGGAGCUAUGAACCUGCACUCCAAGGUCUCUUUGUUCAGCAACACUCCCUAGGACCUUAUCAUUAAGUAUAUAAGUCCUGCUAAGAUUUGCUUUCCCAAAAUGCAGCACCUCACUUUAUCUAAAUUAAACUCCAUCUGCCACUUCUCAGCCCAUUGGCCCAUCUGAUCAAGAUCCUGUUGUAAUCCGAGGUAAUCAUCUUCGCUGUCCAUUACACCUCCAAUUUUGGUGUCAUCUGCAUACUUACUAACUAUACCUCUUGUCAGGUGAGUCAGUGGGCUGAGGAGUGGCAGUUGUCGUUUAGUUUACAUUUUGAAAAGGCAAACCAAGACAUGAAUUCCACACUUAAUGGUAGGGCGUUAGGGAGGGUUGCUGAAUGAAGAAACCUCAGUGUGCCGGUGAAGAUUUCCUUGAAUGUACUCCAACAGGUUUAUUUGGAGGCAUUAGCUGUCAAGGCACUGUUCCUUCAACUACCUGAUGAAGGUGCAGUGCUUCAAAAGCUAGUGUUUCUAAAUAAAUCUGUUGGACGAAAGCCUGGUAUUGUGUCAUUUUUCACUUUGUCCACCCGAGUCCAACACUGGCACCUCCAAGUCCAAGUCACAAAUAGACAGGACGGUGAAGAAGGCAUUUGGCAUGCUUGCCUUCAUUGUUCAGAAUGUUGACUGUUGGAGUUGGGAGGUCAUCUGGUGGCUGUGCAGGACAUUGGUGAAUCCACUUUCAGGAGAUUGUGUACAAUUCUCAUCAACCUGCUGCAGGAAGGAUUUUGUUAAACUUGAGGUGGUACAGUAAAGAUUUACUAGGAUGUUAUUGAGAUAGUCGUACAGCUUAGAAACAGACCUUUUGGCCUACCAUGUCCACGAUGUUCAACAAACAUCAAACUACAUUCAUCCCAUUUACCUGCACUUGGCCCAUAGCUGACUAUAUCUUGGCUUUUUAAAAGCACGUCCCGAUGCUGCUUAAAUGCUGUGAGAGUACUCAAUCACCCUCUCAGGCAGAACGUUCCAAACUUUACCCAUCUUCUGGGUAAAAAUAUUUUUCUCACAUUUCCUCUAAGCUGUUUUCUCCUCAACUUCAAUUUGUGCCCUCUGGACUUAGACACAUCGGUCACGGGGAGAAAGAGUCUCUCAAUCUACUCUGCCUACAUUUCUGAUGAUUUGGAGAUGCCAGUGUUGGGCUGGGGUGUACAAAGUUAAAAAUCACACAACAC